CAAAAAUCGUUGAAAGAGAUAAGUACGUUUAGUCCUUUCUAAAGAGAGAAACAUCCACCGGCUGAAAGGUGUUUCAGAAAGAAGGAAACGGAAAGCUACUCUGGAGUGCAGAAGGAAAAUCUGCCGUUAAGCCGCGUUAAGGCUGUAAUCAAGGUGACAUGUUUUUACAUGUAACCAGGGUGGUACCGCGUGAAUUCAAACUCUCGUCCCUGUU
rnacentral:ncRNA from 1 species